UACGUAGGUGGCAAGCGUUGUCCGGAUUUACUGGGCGUAAAGAGCGCGCAGGCGGUCGUUCAAGUCGCGUGUGAAAGCCCUCGGCUCAACUGGGGAGGGUCACGCGAUACUGAUCGACUCGAAGGCAGGAGAGGGAAGUGGAAUUCCCGGUGUAGUGGUGAAAUGCGUAGAUAUCGGGAGGAACACCAGUGGCGAAGGCGACUUCCUGGCCUGUUCUUGACGCUGAGGCGCGAAAGCUAGGGGAGCAAACGGG
rnacentral:rRNA from 1 species